AACCGUUGAUUCGCACAA
rnacentral:snRNA from 1 species